GGCGAACGGGUGAGUAACACGUGGGUAAUCCACCCUCGGCACGGGAUAGCCCGGGGAAACCCGGAUUAAUACCGGAUGGCCUCCGACAUCUUCGGACGUCGGAGAAAAGGUAGCUUCGGCCUCCGGCCGAGGACGAGCCCGCGGCGGAUUAGCUUGUUGGCGGGGUAACGGCCCACCAAGGCGACGAUCCGUAGCUGGUCUGAGAGGACGAUCAGCCACACUGGGACUGAGACACGGCCCAGACUCCUACGGGAGGCAGCAGUGGGGAAUCUUGCGCAAUGGGCGAAAGCCUGACGCAGCGGCGCCGCGUGCGGGAAGAAGGCCUUCGGGUUGUAAACCGCUUUCAGGAGGGACGAAGCCACUCGGGUGAAUAGCCCAGAGGGUGACGGUACCUCCAGAAGAAGCGCCGGCCAACUACGUGCCAAAAGCCGC
rnacentral:rRNA from 1 species